UACGGAGGGGGCUAGCGUUGUUCGGAAUUACUGGGCGUAAAGAGCGUGUAGGCGGCCAGGUAGGUCGGUUGUGAAAACUGGAGGCUCAACCUUCAGAGGUCGACCGAAACCAUCUGGCUAGAGUCCGGGAGAGGAGAGUGGAAUUCCUGGUGUAGCGGUGAAAUGCGCAGAUAUCAGGAAGAACACCCGUGGCGAAAGCGGCUCUCUGGAACGGUACUGACGCUGAGACGCGAAAGCGUGGGGAGCGAACAGG
rnacentral:rRNA from 1 species